UACGAAGGGGGCUAGCGUUGUUCGGAAUUACUGGGCGUAAAGCGCACGUAGGCGGAUACUUAAGUCAGGGGUGAAAUCCCGGGGCUCAACCCCGGAACUGCCUUUGAUACUGGGUAUCUCGAGUCCGGAAGAGGUGAGUGGAAUUCCGAGUGUAGAGGUGAAAUUCGUAGAUAUUCGGAGGAACACCAGUGGCGAAGGCGGCUCACUGGUCCGGUACUGACGCUGAGGUGCGAAAGCGUGGGGAGCAAACAGGG
rnacentral:rRNA from 1 species